rnacentral:rRNA from 1 species
AUUUCCCGUAGAAGACUCGCCAUCACUUUUGUGAGGAAUGCCCACCAAGCAAAACAAGUAGGGCUCGAGAGGAGGCCCGGAGAUGGUACUGAGACACGGACCCAGGCCCUAUGGGGCGCAGCAGGCGAGAAACCUUUGCAAUGUGCGAAAGCACGACAAGGUUAAUCCGAGUGUCUCCUGCUAAAGGAGUCUUUUGUCAGUUGUAGAAUCACUGGUGAAUAAGGGGUGGGCAAGUUCUGGUGUCAGCCGCCGCGGUAAAACCAGCACCUCGAGUGGUCAGGAGGUUUAUUGGGCCUAAAGCAUCCGUAGCCGGUUGCAUAAGUUUUCGGUUAAAUCUAUGCGCUUAACGUAUAGGCCGCCGAAAAUACUGUGCAGCUAGGGAGUGGGAGAGGUACACGGUACUCGAUAGGAAGGGGUAAAAUCCUUUGAUCUAUUGAUGACCACCUGUGGCGAAGGCGGUGUACCAGAACACGUUCGACGGUGAGGGAUGAAAGCUGGGGGAGCAAACCGGAUUAGAUACCCGGGUAGUCCCAGCUGUAAACGAUGCAGACUCGGUGAUGCAUUGGCUUGUGGCCAAUGCAGUGCCGCAGGGAAGCCGUUAAGUCUGCCGCCUGGGAAGUACGUACGCAAGUAAUGAAACUAAAGGAAUUGGCGGGGGAGCACCACAAGGGAUGAAGCCUGCUGUUCAAUUGGAUCAACG